UCCCUGAUAGCUCAGUUGGUAAAGAAUCUACCUGCAAUGAAGGAGACCCUGGUUCAAUUCCUGGGUUGGGAA
rnacentral:tRNA from 1 species